CGUGGCGGGCAUGAAAACAAACUCCGGAGGGUCGCACACGGGUUCGAGUUGUCAUUGCUGGGGUUGUUCUGUCGUGCCAGGAGGCUCUCCGAGAUUGGGGCCCGGUCACUACGUCGUCGGCUGGUGCGAUGGCGUUUCUCUAAAGCAUGUCGGGGGGUGCUGAGUGCCCUGGGAAGGUCUGGAGCGGAGCUGUGCGCCGGCUGUGGAAGUCGACUGCGAUCCCCUUCGGUUUUGUGUAUUUACCGAAAUGGUUUUCAUCUGCCUUGGCAAGUUAUCCAAAGUAACCUGUAAAUUCUUAUCUUCGAUUUUCUGAAGAACAACUACCCAUAUUUAAAGCUCAGAACCCAGAUGCAAAAAAUACACAACUAAUUAGAAGAAUCGCAGAGCGUUGGAGGGAACUUCCCGAUUCAAAGAAAAUAUACGAAGAUGCUUACAGGGCAAACUGGGAGGCACGCAAAGAAGAGACAAGCAGAAGUCAAGAACAACUAACUCCAAGUCAGAUUGUAUCUUUGGAAAAAGGAAUCAGGUACAAACAUUUAAAAAGGAAAGCUAUAAUAAAAAAGAGCGCAAAGCUGAAGACUGUAAAUGAAAACUGGAAAAAAAUCUGUCUGGUUCUCUAAAGAAAGUAUAUAUUCAGCUUGCUAAAGAUGAUAAAAUUCGUUAUUAUAAUGAAAUGAAGUCUUGGGAAGAACGGAUGAUUGAAGUACGAUGA